rnacentral:rRNA from 1 species
GACGAACGCUGGCGGCGUGCUUAACACAUGCAAGUCGAACGGAGUGGCGAACGGGUGAGUAACACGAGGGUGACCUGCCCGGCACUUCGGGAUAAGCCUGGGAAACUGGGUCUAAUACCGGAGAGUGUGGGAUGGGCCCGCGGCCUAUCAGCUUGUUGGUGGGGUAAUGUCCUACCCAGGCGGCGACGGGUAGCCGGCCUGAGAGGGGGGACGGCAACAUUGGGCCUUAGACACGGCCCAGACUCCUUCGGGAGGCAGCAGUGGGGACGUUUGCACAAUGGGCGGAAGCCUGAUGCAGCGACGCCGCGUGGGGGAUGACGGCCUUCGGGUUGUAAACUCCUUUCACCAUCGACGCGGUAGAUGGAGAAGAAGCACCGGCUAACUUCGUGCCAGCAGCCGCGGUAAUUC